rnacentral:rRNA from 1 species
GUAAUUCCGGUGAAGAUGCCGGAUACCUGCGACAGGACGGAAAGACCCCAUGGAGCUUUACUGUAGCUUGACAUUGGGUCUUGGUACUACAUGUACAGGAUAGGUGGGAGGCUUUGAAACCAGGACGCCAGUUUUGGCGGAGCCAUCCUUGGGAUACCACCCUUGUAGUACUGGGACUCUAACCAUAGGCCAUGAAUCUGGUCUUGGGACACUGUCAGGUGGGCAGUUUGACUGGGGCGGUCGCCUCCCAAAAGGUAACGGAGGCGCUCAAAGGUUCUCUCAGUACGGUCGGAAAUCGUACGUAGAGUGUAAAGGCAAAAGAGAGCUUGAUUGCAAGACAUACAGGUCGAGCAAGGAUGAAAAUCGGACUUAGUGAUCCGGUGGUUCUGCGUGGAAGGGCCAUCGCUCAACGGAUAAAAGCUACCCUGGGGAUAACAGGCUUAUCUCCCCCAAGAGUCCACAUCGACGGGGAGGUUUGGCACCUCGAUGUCGGCUCAUCACAUCCUGGGGCUGUAGUAGGUCCCAAGGGUUGGGCUGUUCGCCCAUUAAAGUGGUACGCGAGCUGGGUUCAGAACGUCGUGAGACAGUUCGGUCCCUAUCCGUCGCAGGCGUAGGAAAUUUGAGAAG